rnacentral:rRNA from 1 species
GGAAUAUUGGACAAUGGGCGCAAGCCUGAUCGAGCCAUGCCGCGUGUGUGAAGAAGGCCUUCGGGUUGUAAAGCACUUUUGUUGGGGAAGAAAAGCCAUGGGUUAAUACCCUGUGGUUCUGACGGUACCCAAAGAAUAAGCACCGGCUAACUUCGUGCCAGCAGCCGCGGUAAUACGAAGGGUGCAAGCGUUACUCGGAAUUACUGGGCGUAAAGCGUGCGUAGGUGGUUUGUUAAGUCUGAUGUGAAAGCCCUGGGCUCAACCUGGGAAUGGCAUUGGAAACUGGCUGACUGGAGUGCGGUAGAGGGUAGUGGAAUUCCCGGUGUAGCAGUGAAAUGCGUAGAUAUCGGGAGGAACAUCCGUGGCGAAGGCGACUACCUGGACCAGCACUGACACUGAGGCACGAAAGCGUGGGGAGCAAACAG